GCCUUCAUAGUGUAAUUAUAAGCAUAUCCGGCUAGCAAUCGGACGGUCUAUAGUUCAAAUCUCAGUGAAAACA
rnacentral:tRNA from 1 species